rnacentral:rRNA from 1 species
CCCUUAGAUGUCCGGGGCUGCACGCGCGCUACACUGAAGGAAUCAGCGUGCUAAAACCAUUGUCGAAAGGCAUUGGUAAACCCAUUAAAAUCCUACGUGAUUGGGAUCGGGAAUUGCAAUUAUUUCCCUUGAACGAGGAAUUCCCAGUAAGUGUGGGUCAUAAGCUCGCGUUGAUUACGUCCCUGCCCUUUGUACACACCGCCCGUCGCUGCCCGGGCCUGAGCCGUUUCGAGAAAAGCGGGGACUGCUGCUGUCGGGGCUUUCGGGCCUUGGCUUCGGUGGAAACCGCUUUAAUCGCAGUGGCUUGAACCGGGCAAAANUCGUANCA